CUCAUAAUCAAGAGACAUUAAGCGAUAUUGAAACCAUGUUCUUUUGUGUACUUAAGACUGCAAAAAUUGACAAAACACUUGCAAGGAGAUAUGUACAGCAUGCCCGGAAAUCGAACGUUCAAUCACUUAAUGUCCAAAAAGCAAGGCAGUGGUGCAUGGUAGAACGCGCAAAAGAGCGCAGUGCGCCUGUAAAAGAAGAAACUGUGCAAGAAAAGCCUAACACCUGGGGUUCUUUGUCCAAUUAUCUAACAGUGUCGAUCGGUUCUCCAACCAAUAUUGGUUCAGCGCCUAUGAUUAGCGAUCUGCAGCAGUGUUGGAAGAGUUUUCUUGGAUCAGUGUCCGCACCAAAUAGCGACUACAUGAGUCUUGAACACUUGGGCAUCAUUCUUAGACACCUUGCACAAGAGGACUGUUAUAAGCGGGUGCUGCCUGGUCAUUUUAUUGAGGGUUAACCUUAUCUUAUUAUGUGUAAAAAAGAAGAGUUUCUGCUCAUGACAUUAACAAUUUACAUGCUCGAUGAAGCUCAACCAUUACCGAGGUCAGAUGAAGUUUUGCUGUGUACUGACCAAACAUCGUUUGAUGAGGUUGAAAUCUUUUUACGACGUGCUAUGUUUAUUGGUGGUGGAAAAAUACAUUGCCUCGUGAAUGCUGAUGUGUUGGGAUACGAAACUAGUGCCCUGGCAAUUCAGCUCAUUAAAAAUAUACAAAGCUC